AUUUUUUUCAAAGUCCACCACGAAAAGAUUCCGAUGUGUCAAUCCGGAAGGCGUGCUGUUGAGCGAUAGGCUCGAUGCUCAUUUACAAAGCCAGCGGUUUCAAAUUCAGGGACUUUCUGAACCAGGAAAACGGUAAAAUGCAAGAGGAAUCUGAAUUUCCAAGCAACUCAUCAAACUUCCAUCAUCCAACAUCCAAAAAGUUUUUGGCACCUCGGAUUACCAACUCCUUCAAGAACUUUUUCUUCCAGUAUGGCCAAGAUUGUGGAUUAUUUGUUGUAAAAAUAG